GCUCCGUAGGUGAACCUGCGGAGGGAUCAUUACAGAGUUCAUGCCCUCACGGGUAGAUCUCCCACCCUGUGUUAUUAUACUUUGUUGCUUUGGCAGGCCGCCCGCGUGGGCUACCGGCUCCAGCUGGUAAGUGCCCGCCAGAGGACCCCAAACUCUGAAUAUUUUAUUGUCUGAGUACUAUAUAAUAGUUUAAAACUUUCAACAACGGAUCUCUUGGUUCUG
rnacentral:misc_RNA from 1 species